GAAGCACCGCUCUUGUAGCCCUCCUGAGAGGCGGACUGGAGGUGGCCAGUCUUUGUCUGCACAACAGGAUGCGGAACCAUCGCCCAGCAUCGUCCCCUCCGCGUUCGGAGCGGACGGAACGAUCCCUGCUUUGCACCUCAGCCACUGGAAAACAGGAACGCCUCAUCGAGGAGGAAGGGAAGCGCCAAGGUCACCGUGAGUUUUAGGUCAAACCAAGAAACGAAGGAUAUCAAGUAUAAGGGCUGUGGUCUCCCGUCCUUCGGUGACCCCUGCAGAUGGGCAGAUGGAGUGGGAGGGCGGGCUCCGAGUUUAGCGCACUGUAUUACAGUGGCUUCGGGAGAAAUAACUUUCGUUUUGUGUCGUAACCUUAAAAAUCCAGACAUGAAACGGAAGGGAAACAGGUAAUGAAAAUCACAUGUACUCCUGAGAGCUGCGGGACACCUGUUAAUUUUAAUUUGUUAUACUUCUAGAGAGUGCUGGAGGGAGGCGGGGAACCAGGCAUUUUUUUCCAACGCUCGGGAGGCUGGAGGGUUUCUGGAGUUCAGGCCAGCUUGGUCUACACAUACAAUGAACACGAACAAAUACACUCUCUCCCUGGCACGUGUUUGGAGUUCAUGGUCCAAAUUGGAAAGCAGCCCAUUUUGAAGACUCACUUCUCACCAGAUAAGCAAAAUAAACAAGGUCAUCCAUCAA